UACGUAGGGUGCAAGCGUUUGUCCGGAAUUAUUGGGCGUAAAGAGCUCGUAGGCGGUCUGUCGCGUCGGCUGUGAAAUCCCGAGGCUCAACCUCGGGUCUGCAGUCGAUACGGGCAAACUGGAGUGUUGCAGGGGAGACUGGAAUUCCUGGUGUAGCGGUGAAAUGCGCAGAUAUCAGGAAGAACACCCGUGGCGAAAGCGGCUCUCUGGAACGGUACUGACGCUGAGACGCGAAAGCGUGGGGAGCGAACAGG
rnacentral:rRNA from 1 species